GCAAGUGUGGUGUAGUGGUUAAGAGCGGUAGACUCGUAAUCUGGUGAACCGGGUUCAAUUCCCCGCUCCUCCACAUGCA
rnacentral:tRNA from 1 species